rnacentral:rRNA from 1 species
UUCCGCAAUGGGCACAAGACCUGACGGAGCAACGCCGCGUGGAGUGAAGAAGGUGCUUCGUGAUCGUAAAGCUCUGUUGCACGGGACGAAAACCGGGUUUGAGAAUAUUGAACUUGGGUGACGGUACCGAGCGAGGAAGCCACGGCUAACUACGUGCCAGCAGCCGCGGCAAUACGUAAGUGGCGAGCGUUGUCCGGAAUUAUUGGGCGUAAAGGGAGCGCAUGGCGGACAUAUAAGUCCAUCUGGAAAAGUGCGGGGGCUCAACCCCGUGCAGGGGAUGGAAACUGUAUGCCUUGAAGUGCACGGAGCAUGAAGAGCGGAAUGCCCAGUGUAGCGGUGAAAUGCGUAGAUAUCGGGAGGAACACCAGUGGCGAAGGCGGCUUGCUGGACUGUAACUGACACUGAGGCUCGACAGCCACGGGAGCGAACGGGAUUAGAUACCCCGGUAGUGCUGGCCGUAAACGAUGACUGUUAGGUGUAGGAGGUAUCGACCCCUCCUGUGCCGGAGUUAACGCCA